CAGAUAGCAAGUCUUAAACAAUGGGACUGCUACAAGUGUAUGACAAAACUUGUCAAAACUAGCUUUAUUGUUGAUUAGCAAAUGUUAGCGUGCUAAAAUACUGAACUAAGAUGCCUGACAUGAUAAACACCGUCCCUAAAACAUCCAUCAAUUAUUAUCCAUUGCGGGGUCACGCAGGGGCUCAUCACAGGAAAGAGCUGAACUACAAUUAGCGGCGAAACGUUCUCCUUGUCGACAUCUUCCUGUUUGUGCACUUUCCCGAAGAACUUCAACAACAAUUAUCAUAGCUGCAAGAAUAUAGUGGUUUCUAUUUUAAAGGAGACCAUUUUUGUGGAGAGCAACACCAGUUCUUUUCUUAAGGAGACCUGGGAAUAUUUCCAGAUGGAGGGGAAGGUUGCUGGUGUUAUCACAAGCAAACAAGGCUAUCAAACUGCCGGUCCACAGUUCGAGUCACACCACUUGAUAUUUUUGAGGACACCUGGGGACAUUUCGAGCUGCUGUGAUUCUGCUAAAAGUUAAAUCCUUAACUUGUUUUUAAGGAGACCUGUGGACACUUCCAGCUGUUUUUGUGGAGAGCAACACCGGGUAUUUUCUUAAGAAGAACUUGGGAUAUUUCUUACGGUUCAAGACACAACACUGGAUAUUUUUAAAGACACCUGGCAACAUUUCAAGCUGCUUUUAUUCCAGCAAAACCAGGUGUUUUUAAGGAGACGUGAGGAAAUUUCCAUCCACUCUUGUGGCGACAGAAAUCAGGCAUGUGUUAAGGACACCUGUGGACAUAUCCAGCCUUUUUUGUGGAGAGCAAAACCAGAUGUUUUUAAAGGAAACCUGGGGAAAUUUCCAGCUGUUGUCAUGGAGAGCAAAACUGUCUAUCUUUCACCAGUGGUCGAACCGCCUCCACCCAUUACUGUGUUGACCAAAACAUGUAUUUUAUGAUUAUGCCUAACCCUAACCAAGUGGUCCAUAUGUCUAAACGUUACCAGUACAGCGUUGUGGCAAGAUAGAAAUAGAAAACACCACCUCAAUAACCAAAAGUUGCAGCAUAAAGACACACUAAGUUAUUUGUGACUCUGCAGAAAGAUAGCCAACAUUUCUUCUGGCCACCGUUCUGCUCCUUAGCUCAUUUACACUCGCUAUGUGCGAAUAGAAACAUGUUGUAUGACACCUACAGAAAAGCUAACAAAUGCCGAGCUCUGGCUUGUUUACAGAAGGAUGACCAAAUGGUCCGAGUCUACUGUACAGAGUGUCCCAUCAUUUCAGUUCGCCACAGGGACAUGUAGGACAGCAGAGCACCUCAGCUGCACUCAGUGUAAACCACCUCAGCCUGUAUACAUCAGCAGUGACUGUUAGUGCCUGUGCUCGGGGCCCAUCUGUGUGUAUGUAUGGAGCAUUAAGUGUGUUAGAAAGAAAUUGCCACCUCUGCAGUUCCACUAUAUUAGUUUGUCCUCACCAGCGCAGGGCGACAAAGACAGCGUUGCCAUGUAUCUGCUGACGGAUCAGUCUCUCAGCAGUGGGUGAAACCCUUAUGUCAACUCAGUGAGACUGUGCGGCUCGCCCUCCCCUCUGAACAAAUAAGAUCAGAGUCAAAAUGAAAAGCAUUAUUACUGCUGACAUCUUUAUCUCCGGUCUACCUUAUUUAAUAACCAAUUUCUUUCAAGGCUUCCUGGAGGAGUUUAUCCUUUGGGCAAGCUUCUCUCUCUUUGCUGCUGAGAAUCUGCUGUUUAGUUAUGUACACUCCGUUGCCAGGGGGCAAGAAGCGGUUUCAUAGCUGUUGGCCUCAUGGUUGGUUCCACAUUUCCUGUCUGGUAUCACUGUAUGUUUAUUCCAGUAAAACUCUGGGGAAGUGCUUCUCCGGGUGAAGGUGUUUAUAAGGCAGCACAUGGAGCUUAGGGGGGAAA